ensembl:lncRNA
UUUUUUUUUUUUUUUUUUGGAACAGUCGGAAAGUUUUCCACCAUAUUCAGGACAUUAGAGUUUUUCGUGUGUGUGUGUGUAUAUGUGUGAGAUCUGCUUCCCAAACAACAACACCCGGAAUAAAUCACCACACGUGCACGCUUUUUUUUCUGGAUACAACUUUUUCAGUCUAUUUAACAAAAUAAUUUGUGUCUUCAUAAAUAAUACACAUCUUUCCCUCUGUUUGAACCUCAGGAUACACACUGUACGUUUGGAUAUUUACAUUUGUACGUCUGUACAUGAUGAAGGGCACCUUAAAAAAAAUAAAAUAAUAAUAAUAAAAAAAUAAAAUAAUUAAAAAACAAAAACAACCCACAAGUGUUCAUGACAGAUACGAGCCGAGCACUUCUGGUCUCUUUUCUUUUUCACUUAAAUAUAUAUUCGUCUGCUUGUGAAUGUACAGAGUAUACUGUAGUAACAACAUCCGUCUGGAAUAAUCAACAUUACUAUAGUAAUUGAUAGAUACAGGAAAAGAUAGUUUGCUAUAAGAAUGACCCUCAGUGCCCCGUGUGUAAUAAAAGCUGCUUGUUUAACAGUAUGUUUCCGUAAUAAUAGAUACCAUUUCUCAGUUUUCAGGCACAAAUGUAUAUAACAGUUUUGUUUAGAAAAAAAACAACAAAACACAACAAAGAAAGAACAGUUUUCUUUUUUUUUUCCUGCUUUUUUUUCUUCUUCUUCUUCCAGCUACAGUUAGUUGGUGUCUCGAGAAAAAGGGCUACGGUUGGUUCACUUUUACAAAACUCGGCAUGGAUGAUGAGGGAGACUGCAAACACCCACACACCCCCUCCCCCACCCACACACCCCAUGUUCACAACAAUCUAGACUGAAAAAACAACAACACGAAAAACGUUGGGACGCUGUGUAGAACGUAAAUAAAAACUGAACGCAACGAUUUGCAAAUCUCAUAUACCCGUGUGUUAUUCACAACCGGACACAGAAAACAUAUCAAACUGUGAAAAUGGACCGUUUUUUGGGGGGGGGUUGGCGGAAGCACGUUGGGGGUUGACGAAACGCUGGGAAGAAAGGGUUAGUUAAAGGAAACAGCUGGAGGAACAUUUUGUAAGUAAUUAGGUUAAUUGGGAACAGGUGAGUAACAUGGUUGGUAUAAAAAGAGGAUCUUAGUGAGGCAGAGUCUCUCAGAAGUACAGAUGGGAUGGAAUCUGGAUGGAAGAAUGUGGUGCUCUAAAACCAUACUAAAACCAUGUGUGUGUGUGUGUAUACACACACACACACCCCUUUCGGCAUUGAUGGUGCCUUUCCAGAUGUGCAAACGGCCCAUUCCGUAGGCACUAAUGCACCCCCAUAUCAUCAGGCUUUUGAGCCGAGUGCUGAUAAAAAGCCGGAUGGUCCCUCUCCUCUUUAGUUUAGAGGACGCGGCGUCAAUGGUUUCCAAAAAGAAUUUCAAAUUUCGAUUGGUCUGACCACAGAACAGUUUUCCACCAUGGCUCGGUCCAUUUUAAAUGAGCUUUGGCCCGGAGAAGACUGCAUUUCUGGAUCGUGUUCACAUAUUGCUUCUUCUUUGUAUGAUGGAUGGCACGGAGAACUGUGUUCACAGACAAUGAGUUCUGGAGGUGUUUCUGAUCCCAUGGAGUGAUUUCCAUUACAGAAUCAGGCCUGUUUUUAAUGCCGUGGCUCCUGAGGGCUCGAAGAUCACGAGGCAUGCAGUAUUGAUUUUCACCCUCGUCCCUUGUGCAGAGAGAUUUCUCCAGAUUCUCUGAAUCUUUUCAUAUUAUGUACCAUAGAUGAUUAAAUAUUCAUCGCCUUUGCAAUUUUACUUCAAGGAACAUUAUUCUGAAAUUAUUCCACAGAUUGUAGACGCAGUUUUUCGCAGAUUGGUGAAUCUCCGCCCAUCUUUACUUCUGAAAGACUCUGCCUCUUUCAGAUCCUCUUUUUAACCCCAAUCAUCUUACUGACCUGUUCCCAAUGAACCUCCAGCUCUUUCUUUUUACUAACACUUACUUUUCCAGCCUUUCAUUGACCCCGUCCUAACUUUUUUGCAACGUGUUGCGGCCAUCGAAUUAAAAAUGACCCUAUUUUUUUUCCUUAAAACGGUCCAUUUCCUCAGUUUAAACAUCUGAUAUGUUUUCUAUGUUCUAUUAUGAAUAACAUGCGGGUUGAUGAGAUUUGCAAAUCGUCACGUUCUGUUUUUAUUUACAUUCUACACAGCGUCCCAACUUUUUUGGAAUUGCCGUCGUAGGUGUCGGGACGAAGCAGCAAACAAAAUUGGGUUCCUUCUGAAAGUCCUUGGCAGCCGUUUCCUUAAUGAUUGUCGGGGAAAAAAAAAAUAAUCCCACUCAAGAUGGAUGUUGAUGCUUCUCCGAGCUUUCACGUUUCACACAGCUGAGGACAAAUAAAAGUAAAAUGACGCAUGAACGACGUUACGAUCUCGCCGUAAACCCUAGGUCCGGUGUUCCGAAAGUUCUGCGCCGUUUAACGCCACAGAAGGCAGAAUAAGAUGGAAGAAAAAUACUCCAUUUGAACAAUUCCGUAAAUAAAUAAAUCAUACAAAAACAUACAAGUGGGUGUCAAACAUCAUAAACGUGGCAUAACAUACCAGUGUCACGUUCACAUUCUCCGGGAAUUGUCACGACAGCUUACGUCACAUGCUAUUUUUUUCGCAUACGAUUAGUAUUAAUACAGGAUUUCUGAUAGAUUAAAGCUUUAUGAUGCAUCCUGUCACCAGGCAGCCAAUCAGAAACGACUACAUCGACAUUCGUCUUACGCUAAGUAAAGCAGUAAGAAUUAGCAUGGAACAUAAACUGUCGUUGCGUGACAAAAUAAAACGGACACUGUAUUCAUGGUAUACAAUGCUAUGACAGUUCUUGUACACGUCGUAGCCAAAGAACAAUUAGCAAAGAUUAGAAUGCGGCACAUAGUAAUUGUUGUUGUUUUAAUAAUAAUAAUAAUAAUAAUAACAACAACAACACACACAACUGACAGCCAAUCAGAAAGGAGUAUUUUCCUGGUAGAAUAUCGUACGAAAUAUAUUAUGACCGUUCUGUUAUAAAAUAAGUGAACUAGAGAGAAUGAUUAGCGUAUAGCUAAACGUCACCCAAUCAGCGACGAGUAUUUCCUGCACUUGUGCUGCGAAACGUUGUGACAGUUUUUUACCAACUCUAUGUUAGCAAAAAUUAACAUCUGAUAUAAAGUGCCUUAACAUUAUGUGAGCUUUCAUGACAUUUACCCAACAAGUCACACUUAUAGUUUGUUGCCUGUGGGCGUGGCCUGUCCAGCUUUUAAAAAUGUUUCUUUUUUAAAGUUCUAUUGAAAAUCAGUAGUAGCUAUUUAUAGUUUAUGAAGCUAACUAGUUAAAACACAAAUUAAACAAUGCACUAGUCAGUGAAAAUCGGUCGUCUGCAUGUUUUACAUAAUAUACGUGCUCGACUUCCUGCUUCAGAUUAGAUUAGCGACGCGAGCUAACUGUACUAGCUGCAUUCACUUGCACGAGGCACCGAUGAUCUCCGCUACAUCCUUCCAAAUGUUAUUUUCCAUAAUAUCUCUAUCCACAUUUAUUUAGAGGUCGUAUAUACACCUAGAUAAGUUUUUUUUUGUAGACCGUUCUUCGAUUUUCACUCAUCAAGCAAACAAAUUGCCGCUAGGAACUGAGUUACGAGUAGCGGAACUGAAGGAACGUCGGCCCUCAAGCACCGCAGGAUCGGUCCGAGGAAUCGUUCGAGCCAAUCGUUUGGAUUUGUCGCUUCUUUACAGUGUCAUGCCUAAUUUGCAUAGAAUUGAGAAAUCACACGUACGUAGAAAACGAACGACCGCCUGUCACUUUGCGGCUUGCUAGUAUGGUGACCUGGAGUGAUCACAUGACACUCGAUUACUUACUACAAUCACGAUUUGGUUAUAUCAGUCUUAUGAGGCAGCUUCUCGAAUAAAGUGUCACCCUAGUGAGUUCCAUUGAUGCUCAGACUUUCACUAGUAACGUAAACUUUGAUUAUUACAGCAAAAGUCGGUCUAUCAGAUAAGAUUUUGGGAACUGGGGAAGAAAUAAUGGCACCAAAAACCCUCACUAUGAGGGAAUGACUCAGCAGGACUUUUAUCCCUUGUAUCUAAACCAACGAUGGAACUGCACAUGUCUGGCUUUCAGUUUCGCGAACACACGCAGCUGAAAAGGUACUUUUAGAAAGAUUCUUGUGUGCUAGAACACUGCUAACACAAAACCUGCAUCGGGUUUCAUCAGACUGGGACUGAGAACCGGCUUUAACGCCCGCAGAGGAGGGAUUAUGAUCACAGCUGUGAAAAAAACUCCGGGCUUUCAUGCUCUUGCACUGAUUUGGCCACGUGUAAAUAAAAUCAAUAAAUUAAAAUCGUACUCAUUGCCUGUAAAAAUAGUCAAGAUUAGUUGAACAUCAGAGCUUCACCUGGGGAUUUGGCUCUGCGAUGAAGGUUCUUGGAAUAAAACAUACUGGCUUUAGUUUUCCAAUGGCCUGAAAUGGGCAAGACAAAAUACUGGAGAAUACUAAACAAUAAAGUAUGAUGCUUCCAUAUCAAUAGCACUAUCAUGUAUACUAUAUAAUCGCAGCCUAGAGUACGUUGUCGCUCUAAUGACCAGACGGCACGAAAUGACACGGAUCUGACUGUACUACGGCUCUAGAUCCGUAAGUAUUUGGACAGUAACAAUUUUCAUCCUUUUGCCUCUGUACACCACCACAAUGGAUUUGAAACGAAGCGAUCGAGAUGGGAUCGACGUGUGUAGACUUUCCGCUUUAAUUCAAGGGGUUUAACAAAAAUAUUGCAUUAAACGUUUAACGAAUCACAGCCGUUUUGUUCCCCGCUUCCAUUUUCACAGGCUCAAAAGUAAUCGACAUGACUGAUAAGCAUUUUCAUGCGCAGGUGUGGCCUGCUUUCUUGUCCUUUCAUGACAAAUUAAGGAGACAAAAGGGUUUGGAGUUGAUUCCAAGUGAUGAAUUUGCACCCCCCGCAAUAAGAGAGUAUGGAGAAGGAAAGCAAGGGCUCAUGUACCAAAGCAUACCACAAUCAUCUGUCAAACAUGGUGGAGGCAGUGUUAUGGCGAUCGCUACAGUACAUUUCAAAUCCAACGUGGUGGUGCACAGAGAUAAAAAUGCAAGAAUUAUAUCGCUGUCCAAAUAUUUAUGGACCUGACCGUAUUUCACGGUUAAUGAUAAAUUGUGCUCUCUGAAAAUAUCAAGAGGAGGAACUACAGUUUACACUAACUACUAUUAUAAGUGAGAACAUAUCUUAUGUCAUGAGCCCUUAUCCAGUAUGUCAUUCUUGACAAUAAUUCAGAUUACAAUGGGGAAAAAAAACAACUUUACCGACAGCCGUACUCGAAGUAAAACAAAACCUGAUCUCUACUUGAUCCAAGCUAACUAAUGUAGCUAGCUACUGAAUAUUAUUAUUAUUAUUAUUUUUUAAUCAACUCACAAACAUACAGAACGUCAAGACUGAGUCUAGUAACGUAUCUGCAUGUACUUUUAUGGACAAUAUUUAAAACAUUAUUAAUUAAUAUUGUCCGAUUAAUACCAAAUGCGUCAGUAGGUAAAAUACAUGGAAUAUGUUCAACCCCUUCUCGAGGCGCAACACUACUGAACCCAUUUCCGUCUCAUUACUAACCCCAAUGGAUCGUUUAUUACACAGUUCAUCCAUCAGUGCUGAGGACCACAGGGUCUUAAAAAGGUUAACUAGGAUGAUUUUUCCGUGGGAAAGAAAUACCUGUGAUAAAUCACAUGGGCCGGGUGGAUGGCAUGUUCGAAUUAAUGAUUCGUAAUUUAUCAUCUAAGGAAGAGAAGCUGGGAAGACGGUCCUGUAAAAGCCGGCUGGAGAAAAUCUAUAAGAAAGCAUAUGAGCUCAUUCCAAAUAAAGACUCGGGUCGAUGGCUCGAACGUUCAUAUUUAGGGGAAAGCCGAAAUCCGUCGCAUCGGCCUGGGCGUCGGCUUUUCAUUCAGCUCGAGUGCUUCGGUUUAUCACUGUGAAUGUGAUCCCUCAGGAUCUCUCUACGUUCUCUGUGUUACGUAGUGAGCCAGCGUAGAAUUUGGCCUUUUUAUAGAACAAAAAUAAUCCAACAUUGUUAUUUAAAAUAGUCCUCUUGUUCUUCAGAGUGUUUGGAAAGGUAAGCAUUCACGCUUCCUAAAUGGGUUCCACUUGGAAUGCUUUCUGAGAGGAAAAAAAAUAACCCUCACAGAGAUGUCUGUCGUGUAAUGACAUCCAGUGGAAACGGUGGCUCAGUGUUUAAGGCUGCUGAUCGGAAGGUUGCGAGUUCAAGUCCCUCGCCCUUCACAGUUAGAUCCUUGAGCAAGUCUCUUAAGCUUCAACUGCUCAGUCGUAUCCUGUCUCAAUUAUAAGUCGCUUUUGGAUGAAAACGAGUCGAUGUAACUCCACGAUGUAGGAGACGAGCAUGUACGCGGACAGAUUUAGACUGCAACUCGAUCUAACCAACAACGAAAACGGAAUUCAGCACCGUGGCUUGGGAAAUCAAGCUUUCUGGAGUUUGUACGUAUAAAUGUACGUACUCUCCAGUACACACGAUUAAAAUGUCGCCAUUUUAAACAGCGGACAUCUGGAUGGUCAUUUGCUAAAAUAUCAACGUGUUGAUGGAAAUAUGCUAAUCGAAAUCCGAGUGACUUCACAGUGUUUACGAGACAAUCGCAUUCUUGUAUUCAGCACUUUUCAGACAAAGUUCGUAAAGAAUUGAACUAGAAUUUCAGUUUAAUGGCAAGUGUAAUUUUAGUCAUAUUGUGCGUUUUCUUAGUAAUUCGCUACCAUUUGAGAAGUUUUGAUAUUCCUAGCGGUCCCGUCUGCUUUCCUCGGCCAUUCGCUCUCUGUGUGACUUAACAGCCCAUGGCUAGCUAGAGUAGUCAUUAGCUACAGUAGUUUAUGCUCAGUGCGUCUCACUGAUCAAUCUUUUGUUGUGUGUAAACGUUUUCCGAGGUCAACCGGAACUAAAAAUUCCUGCCAGAUUGACAAAUUCACAGGCGUUCCCCUCCUCGUUCUCGCAUGUCGAUAAAAUCACUCGCUCGUUUACAGCACUCCUGAUUUACACGCGACAUCAGAAAAGGCUGAGACGAGAACUGAAAGCGAUAAAAAAAAAAAUAAUUUUUUUUUUUUUUAAAAAGACGACUAAACGGUCAAAAGGAGCCUCCGAAAGUGUGUCGCGUGCUAACUCUUCCAGUAACGCAGCUCAGCCACCGCAGCUAAUCAUACAAGUAGACGCAUCUUCCUUUUAUAGGGCGCCAUUACUUUUGUCCCAAUUGAACGGCUAGGUUUAUUUGUCUCCGUUUUUAAAAUCGAUUUCCUUUAAACUGCACCGUGACGUGCGCAGUCGAAAUAAACCGUCGAUCUAAACUCGACCCGUACAUAAAACUCGCACGUCGACGGUUAUACGAUCGGUACAGGGUCACGUGAGAUCGUCCGAACGAACUCGGGAGCGAAACGCAGGUAUACGGACGUUUUCCUGGAUUUCCGUAAACGCCACAUUUCUAAGCUAAUGUCUAAACGCUUCUAUGAACCGUCUAUGAUUAAAUUCAUUUCUGUUCGGCACAGUAAACGAGGCCGUGUCCGCAUUUUCAACUAUCGAGUGUUUGCACGGUACGUGUCAAGAUUUCACCAAUCAAAUCUCCUGUAUGAGCUAAUCAGUCACGCUAAUUCACUAAUUGUUCAGAAUUAGGGGUUGAUUUAAGACACAGCCUUCGGUAGACUAGGAACCAUGGCGUGUCUGGUGUGUGUGAAGGAUGAAACAGAGUGGCUCUGAAGCAGUGGGUGUAUGCAGAUUCCUGCUUUUGUGUCAGCUCUGUGCCUGCUGGGCCGCACCGCUGAGAACGAGGAUGGAUAAUUUAUCACCGAAUACGCUCUGAUUAAGGGGAAUUACUGCAGACAGUUUUGGGCGUGCUAAUUGCUUGUACGAGUUCAAGCUGUUGGUCUCGGAGAAUAGUUCCGUUCGGGUGAUACCAGGGGAAGCAAAACACUGUCUCAAACAGAACCGGCAUCUUUUUUUGGGAGGUUUUAAGGCUGAACACUAAAAGCGUCGUCUUCACUUCAUUCUGUUUUUGUGCCACAGCCACAUGACCGCCCAGCCUGGAGACUCCUCCAUAAAGGUUCAGCAGAGAUUUUCCUCUCUCUUUGGGAUUCUUUCUUUUAUUUGAUUUUUUUUUUGCACAGUGUUGACUUAAUAGGCUUAAUUCCAAUUACCAAACUCAUUCAGAACACCACCGGCUCAGCCUCAUCUCACACAACAGCGCAGUUUUUCCUAACAAGCCGUUAAUACACCUACUUCCAUUUCUCUCAAGUCGAUCUUCUGAAGGUAUGUGCAACGAAUCCAGGGUUCACUUUAAAGAUCGUAAAGACCACGGGACGGUCAAACAUACCGCCUGAGAAAGGUUCUGAUCUGGGACGACGAAAUGAUACGAAGCUCCGUCAUGUGUUUAGAAGAAGACCCUACAUGAUCUACACUUCAGAAGUUCACAGUAUGGAAGUUCUUACACCACAGGAAAAGUCCAAGUGUGUUUUCUUUAGUAGCUCAACACCACUUUUUUUGAAUUUUGAUGUUCUCGAUGGUUCUGUCCACGUUCCACUGUCGUCGACGUCACGUCGUACGGAUAAGACCUAGCGGCUAAUCGGUAGCUAGGUUAGCUUUAGUUAUUAGCGACAGUAAUUGAAGCGCAGCGGGUCUCAGGUUUACAAAAAGACCCGAUGUUCUUCAUACUCACGUACGCACGGUGAUCAACGUCAACCUGCUAUGAAUUACCAAAAGCAUUCGCGGCAUUCACCGACGCCCUCAAAACUCCAUAAAAGGCAACGUUCACAGAGAGCUGAAGACUAAACGUCGAAAGAGUGCCUCUUUGGAAAAACCGGACUCAGCAAAGGAAUUAAAAUCAUCUUGUGGCCCAUGAUAGACCUGAAAGAUUCACUCUGAAGAAGGGCUCUGAGGAAGGGCGCUAGCGGAGGAAAUAGAGCGAUGCAUCCAUGGCCGUAAACUAAGCUUCUGACAAAAUGUUCUAAUGACGUAAUUUUUCAUUAGCACAAACUAACACACGCUAACCUUUUGUUGCAUUAUUCCAAGUAAGUAAUGUUUAAUCGACUCAUCCUCAUCAAAUGAUGAUCACGAGCAAGUCCUGGAACGUCACUAAACACUACCUCGAGCACUAAAUCUACAAAAGGAAAGGAAACCAGUUGAACUGCACUCUGUUUUCUAACAGGGUUCUAGCUGUGUGAUAUUCUCAGGGUUCUCUCUUGUACGCCGUGUCGAUCCGGUUUAAACGCAACACCGACGUGUCUUCCGGUCACGCUCGGGUUCGAGAGUCUCAGUCCGCUUCCAAGUGAACGCGCUAAGGAAGUGAUUCGACUCCGAAUAGAAUCGACUCGACUCAGCGAAUCAACCCAAACAUGCGUUGCGUUUCGGGUUGCAGCAUUUCUUCUUAAACCGAGCCAAAGUACCGAGCUGUAGCACUGCAGGAAUGCCACGUGUUCUUAAAGAUCGACUAAACAAACAGAAAAUAAAGUCUUCUAGUUAGUGAUCAAAUAAAAUCAAACCAUUUACUCAGCGCUGCGAUUUUUGUGAUACGCAAAAAUGUUUACCGUACAGUUGUUUACGUAUUUCUGAGCGGUGAAUUUUUACGAGGACAUUUUCAGCACACCUCAGACAAUGUUUUACGUUUAGUUUUAUGAGUGCAGUGCGAAACUAAACAGCAAACGAACCAAAAGCGACAAUUUAGCUCCGAUUCGAACUCCACAAACGGACCGACGGAUGUAAAAGCACCUUUAAAGCCCGAUUUAUUUGUACUAGCGUGAUGUUUUUCGAUGGACACUAUAGUUCUUUUUGAUAAGGAUGUCUGCUAAAUGCUAAGGUAAAUGUAAAAAAAACCUGCAGCCACACGGUCCCUUUGUGAAGACUGAAAACCUUAAGCAUUAUGUCACGAACAUGUUGUUUUAACGUGUUUUUUAAUGUCAUUUUGCAACACAGAGUUGCGAUCCUGCUCACAACACUCGCACAAGCAACAAUGCAGCAAAGCAACAACUACUCUCAAUUUUAUGCAAAUUAGCAAAAUUGAAAUGAUUGCCUCAUAAGUUAUCCAUCUUUCUUCCAUUUUCU